rnacentral:rRNA from 1 species
AUUGAACGCUGGCGGCAGGCCUAACACAUGCAAGUCGAGCGGCAGCGGAAAGUAGCUUGCUACUUUGCCGGCUAGCGGCGGACGGGUGAGUAAUGUCUGGGAAACUGCCUGAUGGAGGGGGAUAACUACUGGAAACGGUAGCUAAUACCGCAUAACGUCGCAAGACCAAAGAGGGGGACCUUCGGGCCUCUUGCCAUCAGAUGUGCCCAGAUGGGAUUAGCUAGUAGGUGGGGUAACGGCUCACCUAGGCGACGAUCCCUUGCUGGUCUGGGGGGAUGACAAGCCAAACUGGAACUGGGACACGGUCCAGACUCCUACGGGAGGCAGCAGGGGGGAAUAUUGCACAAUGGGCGCAAGCCUGAUGCAGCCAUGCCGCGUGUAUGAAGAAGGCCUUCGGGUUGUAAAGUACUUUCAGCGGGGAGGAAGGUGUUGUGGUUAAUAACCACAGCAAUUGACGUUACCCGCAGAAGAAGCACCGGCUAACUCCGUGCCAGCAGCCGCCGUAA